rnacentral:rRNA from 1 species
GCUUAGAGUUUGAUCCUGGCUCAGCUCGAACGCUGGCGGCAUGGUUAAAACAUGCAAGUCGAGGGAGAAGCCACUUCGGUGGUGGACACCGGCGAAAGGGCGAGGAAUACCUUGGAACGUGCCCAGAGGUGGGGAAUAGCGUCGGGAAACUGGCGGUAAUACCCCAUGUGCUCCAUGGAGGAAAGCUUCGGCGCCUUUGGAGCGGCCAAGGUCCUAUCAGGUUGUUGGUGGGGUAAAGGCCCACCAAGCCUAUGACGGGUAGCGGGUGUGAGAGCAUGACCCGCCGCAUCGGAACUGAGACACUGUCCGGACUCCUACGGGAGGCUGCAGUAACGAAUCUUCCGCAAUGCACGCAAGUGUGACGGAGCAAUGCCGCGUGCGGGACGAAGCGGCUACGCCGUGUAAACCGCUGUCAGGUUCCAGAAAGAACUGAUCGGAUCCAGAGGAAGGGCCGGCUAAUCUCGUGCCAGCAGCCGCGGUAAGACGAGAGGCCCGAGCGUUGAGCGGAAUCACUGGGCUUAAAGGGUGCGUAGGCGGAACGGCAGGUGUCUUGUGAAAGCCCACGGCUCAACCGUGGAAUUGCAGGGCAAACCGCCGUUCUUGAGGCCGGUAGAGGGCGUCGGAACGUUGGGUGGAGCGGUGAAAUGCGUAGAGAUCCAACGGAACGCCGAUGGUGAAGACAGGCGCCUGGGCCGGACCUGACGCUGAGGCACGAAAGCGUGGGGAGCAAACAGGAUUAGAUACCCUGGUAGUCCACGCCGUAACGAUGCGCACUGGGUCGAUGCUUCUCUGACGGAGCGUCGGCCGGAGAGAAUUAUUAAGUGCGCCGCCUGGGGAGUAC